rnacentral:misc_RNA from 1 species
CCCUCCCUCUCCCCUCCCCCCCUCCCCCCCCCCCAAAACCACCACUUUUUUUCUGGGCGGCCCCCCCCCCCGCCGCAAAACCCCUGUCCGCCCUUCAAUGCGCGAAUUUUCUGUCUCGCGCUCUCUGUCCAUCAACGAUCAACUCUCUUUCCCCAUCAAAAACUCUGAAAAUCCAAAAAAGCUCGCUCCUUGCAUUUUUCUCUUAUUCGCUAC